CUGCCUGCCCUCCUGCUGUUUCACUGUUCCCUGUGAGACACAGAGGACACGGAGCCCCGAUCGGAGCAGCAAACAGUGCCAAGAUGUCCAAGAGGAAGCCAACUCCAGAUGAGGAACUCAAGGAGGAGACAACUCCAGAUGAGGAAUCUGAGGAUGA